rnacentral:lncRNA from 1 species
GUUUUUUCAAUUAAAAGGCUUGUAAUGCGCCAUAAAAACCAUCACUCAGAAGGCUGAACUGUGCCUUUAAAUAAGCACACAAACAGACAAACUUCGCUUCUUGAUAUGAAAUUCAGUUUAUUUUGAAAUAAGAAAACACAGAUUAGUGAACAAAUACAAACUAAAGAGAUAAUUACAGUAAAAGUACAAAGGUAAGAUAACUAUAAACUAUUUUAUAUGCAAUUAAGGUUUAUAAAAUACUAAGUACUAUUUAUAAAUCUAAAUACUUCAUAGUGUUAAGUGUUUUGACUUUUGAGUUCAUAUUAAAUACUGGUAAACAAUGGCAGUAUUUUAGCAAAAGGUAGUGCAACACUGCAACCUCUAUAAUUAUUAUUUAGGUAUUGUCAGGAUGGAAUUUAAAUCUGUUGGAGCAAGUCUAUCACAGAGAUUUUAUGAACCAUGCAUGCAAUUUGUACAUAAUCAUAUAUUUGCCCAUUAUAUUUAUAAACUGACAGUUAAUAAUUAAUCUUUCACAGACUAAUAAAAUCAUCUGGGGCCGGUAGUUCAAAGGCUUACACGGGCUUCGAACAACCGGGCCCAGAUGAUUUUAUUAGUAUGUGAAAGAGUAAUAGUAUUAACUGUCAGUUUAUAAAUAUAAUGGGCAAAUUAGAGAUGGAG